rnacentral:piRNA from 1 species
UCGAAGAUCUUUAGAUUGUCC